CACAAAGGCUUGGUCCUGACCUUAAAAUCAAUUACUUCUCAACUUACACAUGCAAGUCUCCGCACCCCAGUGAAAACGCCCUAAACCCCUUUAAUAGGAAAAGGAGCCGGUAUUAGGCACAACAAUUUGCCCAUGAUACCUAGCAACGCCACACCCACAAGGGUUGUCAGCAGUGAUAAACAUUGAAUAUAAGUGACAACUUGAUUCAGUUAGAGAAACCAGAGUCGGCAAAUCUGGUGCCAGCCGCCGCGGUUACACCUCAGGACUCAAAUUGAUUUCAUCGGCAUAAAAUGUGAUUUAAGCCUCAAUUCCACUAGAGUUAAACCUAUACUGAGUAGUUAUAAGCUCGUUACAAGAAAACCGCAUACGAAAGUUACUCUACCCAUACUUGAACUCACGAAAAUUUGGAUCCAAACUAGGAUUAGAUACCCUACUAUGCCAAAUAGUAAACUUUAAUUUACACCGAAAUCGCCAGGGAAUUACGAGCUACGCUUAAAACCCAAAGGACUUGACGGUGCCCCAUAUCCCCCUAGAGGAGCCUGUCCCACAAUCGAUAAUCCCCGUUUAACCUCACCACUUUUAGCCUAUCAGCCUGUAUACUUCCGUCGUCAGUUUACCGCAUGAGCGAUUCUUAGUAAACCUAAUGUCUUAUCAUCAAUACGUCAGGUCAAAGUGCAGCAAAUAAAGUGGAAGAGAGAUGGGCUACACUUUCUACAGUAGAAAAUACGAAAGAUUAUAUGAAACCUCAAUCAGAAGGCGGAUUUAGUAGUAAAAAGAAAUUAGAGUAUUCUUUUUAAUUUGGCCCUGGGGCGUGUACAUACCGCCCGUCACCCUCUUCGUAAUACAUAAAUCAAGUAAAUAACAAAAUUUAACCUCAACAGAAGAGGCAAGUCGUAACAUGGUAAGUGUACCGGAAGGUGUACUUGGAAA
rnacentral:ncRNA from 1 species